GACAGAGGGUGCAAACGUUGCUCGGAAUCACUGGGCGUAAGGGGCGUGUAGGCGGGAAGGCAAGUCAGAUGUGAAAGCCCUGGGCUCAACCCAGGAACUGCAUUUGAAACUCCCUUUCUUGAGUGUCGGAGAGGAAAGCGGAAUUCCUGGUGUAGAGGUGAAAUUCGUAGAUAUCAGGAGGAACACCGGUGGCGAAGGCGGCUUUCUGGACGACAACUGACGCUGAGACGCGAAAGCGUGGGGAGCAAACAGG
rnacentral:rRNA from 1 species